CAGGACUGGAAUUUCAGGAUUUUCAGGAUUUUGGUGCCGGGAUUUCAGGAUUUGGGGAUUUUAGUAUCAGAAUUUCAGGAUUUCAGGGACGGGAUUUGGGGAUUUUGGGACCAGAAUUUCGGGAUUUUGGUGCUGGAAUUUGGGGACUUUGGGACCGGAAUUUCGGGAUUUUACGGCUGGGAUUUUGGGAUUUAGAGGCCGGGAUUUCAGGAUUUUGGUGGUGGGAUUUUGGGAUUUCGGUACCAGAAUUUGGGGAUUUGGGUGUCAGAAUUUCGGGAUUUUGGGACGGGAAUUUCAGGAUUUUCGUGCCGGGAUUUGGGGAUUUCAGGAGCGGAAUUUCAGGAUUUGGGACGGAAUUUGGGGAAUGUUGGGAUUUGGUAUUUUGGUGCCAGGAUUUUGGGAUUUUGGGACUGGAAUUUCAGGAUUUUGGUGCCGGAAUUUCAGGAUUUCGGUACCAGAAUUUGGGGAUUUGGGUGCCGGAAUUUCGGUACUGGAAUUUGGGGAUUUCGGGACUGGAAUUUCGGGAUUCAGGGUGGGAAUUUCGGGAAUUUUGGGAUUUGUGCCAGGAAUUCGAGGAAUGUCGGGAUUUGGGGAUUUCGGUGCCGGAAUUUGGGGAUUUGGGGAUUUUGGUGCUGGAAUUUCGGGAUUUUGGGGAUUUUGGUGCCGGAAUUUGGGGAUUUUGGGAUUUCGGUGCCGGAAUUUGGGGAUUUUGGGGUUUCAGGACCAGAAUUUGGGGAUUUCAGUGCGGGAAUUUGGGGAUUUGGGGAUUUGGUGCUGGAAUUUCGGGAUUUUGGGGAUUUUGGUGCCGGAAUUUGGGGAUUUUAGGAUUUCAGUGCGGGAAUUUGGGGAUUUGGGGAUUUCGCUGCAGGAAUUUGGGGAUUUUGGGGUUUCAGGACCAGAAUUUGGGGAUUUCAGUGCUGGAAUUUCGGGAUUUUGGUAUUUCGGUGCUGGAAUUUGGGGAUUUGGGGAUUUUGGUGCUGGAAUUUCGGGAUUUUGGGGUUUCAGGCCCGGAAUUUGGGGAUUUCGGUGCCGGAAUUUGGGGAUUUGGGGAUUUUG
rnacentral:lncRNA from 1 species